ACAGCAGUAGCCGCGGUAAUACGUAGGGUGCAAGCGUUAAUCGGAAUUACUGGGCGUAAAGCGUGCGCAGGCGGUUUGUUAAGACAGAUGUGAAAUCCCCGGGCUCAACCUGGGAACUGCAUUUGUGACUGGCAAGCUAGAGUGUGGCAGAGGGGGGUGGAAUUCCGCGUGUAGCAGUGAAAUGCGUAGAUAUGCGGAGGAACACCGAUGGCGAAGGCAGCCCCCUGGGCCAACACUGACGCUCAUGCACGAAAGCGUGGGGAGCAAACAGGAUUAGAUACCCCCGUAGUCCCUGUCUCUUAUAC
rnacentral:rRNA from 1 species